rnacentral:rRNA from 1 species
CCGGCUACGGAUGGCCAUGCGGCGCAUUAGCUAGUUGGCGGGGUAACGGCCCACCAAGGCGACGAUGCGUAGGGGUUCUGAGAGGAAGGUCCCCCACACUGGUACUGAGACACGGACCAGACUCCUACGGGAGGCAGCAGUGAGGAAUAUUGGUCAAUGGGCGCGAGCCUGAACCAGCCAAGUCGCGUGAGGGAAGACGGUCCUAUGGAUUGUAAACCUCUUUUGUCGGGGAGCAAAAGACGCCACGCGUGGCGUUCCGAGAGUACCCGAAGAAAAAGCAUCGGCUAACUCCGUGCCAGCAGCCGCGGUAAUACGGAGGAUGCGAGCGUUAUCCGGAUUUAUUGGGUUUAAAGGGUGCGCAGGCGGAAGAUCAAGUCAGCGGUAAAAUUGAGAGGCUCAACCUCUUCGAGCCGUUGAAACUGGUUUUCUUGGGUGAGCGAGAAGUAUGCGGAAUGCGUGGUGUAGCGGUGAAAUGCAUAGAUAUCACGCAGAACUCCGAUUGCGAAGGCAGCAUACCGGCGCUCAACUGACGCUCAUGCACGAAAGUGUGGGUAUCGAACAGGAUUAGAUACCCUGGUAGUCCACACAGUAAACGAUGAAUACUAAUUGUUCGGGGAGAAUGAU